UUGGGUGGCUAUAGCUCCGGGGUUCCACCUCUUCCCAUACCGAACAGAGAAGUUAAGACCGGAAGCGCCGAUGGUACUGGGUCACAACCGGGAGAGUAGGUGCCGCCUCUU
rnacentral:rRNA from 1 species